GUUCUCCCUGUUCCUGUGUGGGUUUUCUCUGGGUACUCCAGCAUUCCCCCCCCAAAAAAAGCAUGCACUGGACACUCUAAAUUGUCCUUAGGUGUGAUUGUGAGUGUGAAUGUUCGUUUGCAUGCCCCAGGAUUGGCUGGCAACCUGUUCUGGGUGCACACCGCCUACUGCCCGAAGUCAGCAUGGGACAGGUUCCAGCACUCCCGCGACCCUCAUGGGGAUGAGCGGUUCAAAUCAUACAUGGAUGGAUUCAUGUUGAAAGGAGUUUUCAGGGAUUAGUAUGUGUUUCGAAAACAUCCAAAGUAGUUUAUCUUUCAUAAAAAUCACAUGCAGCACAGUCAGCAUCCAAUACCGGUCGGGGCAGAGAAAAAAAAGGAUCAACUUUGGACCGUAUCUAAUGAGUGUGUUGGAAAUACGACUGAACUAUCAACUAAGAAAUCAUUUAGCAGCCAAAGUGACACAAGCACCAGGCGCCUGAUUGACUAGCGAUGUUCAAACUUUUUUUUCUCACAAUUCUUAAUUGUAUCGUAUGGUUUUAAACUGGCUGCCAAUACGGUUGUAAUCAAAGGAGCGAGCUUGGAGGAGACGGGGUGUCAAUUUUUCUCGAGCGUUCCACCGCAGCCGCAUUGUUUGUUGUUAAUUUUGGUCAGGGUGCGCUUUGAUGCCGCAUCCUUUUACCUUUUUGCUCCCUGGCAGCUGUGUUUCAUAAUACCAUCAGAAAUGUUUUCAUUUUCCUGAGUUACUCCCCUAAAUGUGGUGGUAAAAUCUUCACACUGACUGGUGACAACAAUGUCAACAUGGUGCUCCUCCCCAAAGUACUUGUUUUACAGUAUGUGGGUAUUUUCUAUCACACUUUACAGAAUAACCAGCUAACAUUACAUUGUUGCGCAAAAAUGUCAUAGUUCUCAUAGGACUUCAACUCAAUAAGCAUGUAAUGCCACAACCUUACGUGUUUUCAUAUCUACACGUGUGAUGAUAACCAGAGAACUAGAAAGUGAACUCAUUUGUGACAAUACGCGACAAAUAUCUCUGUUCUGGGUGCUCAGUACAAUGUGAGCUACAACAAUAAUAAAAUAAGAAUGUAAUUUCCAUUCACAUUACAUUUUUACUUUUGAAUAAUCUCUGUGAUGAACGUAAAUCUCUGCUGGGGUACAAAACGAGGCCUGCUCUAAAUAGUGAACAACAAUGAAUCAUGUUUUAUUAGUAUAAAUUUUGCUUUUAAAUCAUUGCACUUGGAGGAAGAACCCCAAUUCAGUUGUCUUUGCAGGUAAGUGAUCAUCACAUUGAAGUUUACCCGCUAAUAAUAUCCUAGAAUUUAUUUUAAUGUAUUCACCUUUCCCUGCUCCAUAUUUGACAAUCUUUGCCAUAAACUCUCAUCUCCAAGGGCUAAUUGCGGGUGUAAUCGAAUAUUUAAAAGUCAAACAUGUCGAAAUAAUGUGAGUUGUGUUUGGACAAGGCACAGAUGUUCCUCUCAGACGUUGCCAAGUCUUCCUCGAAAGAGUGAAAAAUGUUUUUGUCCGACAUUCAAAGCAGAAAAUUCCCAACACCUGGUGCAUAUUUGGUGGUAUUUGAAGGUAUUUCCCCUUGUUUUUCGUGUCUCUUUCCAUUCUGCUGUGUCACCUAAAUAUGAACAAUCCCAAAUAGAUUGAAACCCAAGUGCAACAACCCCAAAGGUGGAACUAUUUGGAGUGGGGGUGGGGGGUAUGUGCCUCAAAAGUAAAUCAAAGUUCAUACAAUUACCACAUAAAAUGAUGCAGUGAACCAAAUAUGAUUUUGGCAUUACUGAUUUUACCUGUACGUAUCUCUUUAUUUGGCUUUUUUGGUGGCCAUAACACCAUGGCAAAAGUUCAGUCACAGAACUCGAAUAGAGACCAGCACUGAUGCUGCACAAGUCAGGUUAGUGAACCACUACAUUAUCAGUAAAUAUGUAUGACAUGAAUGCAACUUAAGAGUAUAUGAUAAACUGCAGAAAAGGGCCAAACUAUUCAGUACUGUAUGAGUAUCAGAACUUAUUAAGUAUCAAUUACAUGCAGUGAUUCAUUUUAAUCAAGUAGAUGCUAACAAUGCUAAAUAGCAUGUAACUGAAAACUAGGUAGGUCAUGACUACCAUGAAAAUGACCAAAGAGGCUGUCGGUUAUAUUUUUAUGUUCUAAGGGCUACUUUAUAACUGAUGAUGCUAAGCAUCAUGUAGCUGAAAGCGAGGAAGCUAAUGACUACCAUGAAAAUGACCACAAAAGCUGUUAGUUUUCUUUUUGUUAUGUUGUUAGGGCUACUUUCAGUGAUCAAUGCUAAAUAGCAUGUAGCUGAAAACAAGGACACAAAUGAUGACAAUGAAAAUGACCAAAGAAGCUGUCAGUUUUCUCUUUGUUUUGUUCAAAGGGCUGUUUUUUGUGGUUGCUUUAUUUUAUUUAUUAUUUUUUUGCAAUUUUGAUAUUACUGGAUAGUUUUCUUAAACAUCGGUUUAACCUUUUGUUCAUAUGCUUUAUGAAUGACUUAUGAAUGAUAAAUGAGCCUUUUUCAGGAAACCAAUUAGUUCACUUUUUAUGACUUGGAACUCAAGCAUUCUGUCAUGCUGAGCUCAGGUCCCUGCUUUAAUACAUAGAGAAGGUGUUGAAAGCAAAAUACAUUCAACCUUAGAAUCAAAAGCUUCUUUUAAGUCUCACAAGUGAUGUUGAUGGCCUAUGUAAUUAUUGGCAGUGUUUCAAAGGCAGCGAGCUCAAGAAUAACAAAAGUUCCGACACUUUUUUUUUUUUUUUGCUCUUUUGCUUUAAUCAGGUGCAUGCAAUGUCGACGUGGAUUUGGAACAUCAAAUAAACAUCUGCUACACACGGAUAAAUUAAAGCACUUAUGGUCUUAUUCAAAAUAAUUUCACACCAUUUCAUCUCAUUCUGUGUUAUCAACUUUAAUCACUAUCAUUAUUUCACCUCACCUGUCUGUAACUAAUAUUGAUUACUCUGUCGGAUGUACACCCUAACCUCUAGAGACCUUAACUUAGCACAGGGAUUCCCAAGCAUCAAGCUCCGGGGCCAAGACCAGUUUGAAGUUGGGUUCCAGAACUCCCUUGAAAGAUGGGAAAAAUGAAUCCAUGUAUUAAUGAAUUAAUUCAUACGUUUUUAUUUGUAUAAAAACAACUCAGUGUCAUGUAUGAAUAUUUUAACAAAUUAUUAACACACAAUGUGUCUUACAAAUAAUGCAAUGUCAUUUUAUUGUAUAGUAAUUCAGAAAUAAAAAUAUGCAACUACUCUUGAAAAUUUUAAUUCGAUUCAAAAAUUCACUUUAAUUUGGAAAAUUAAGAUGAAAUAAUACAACUUGACAUAGCGUGGAUUAUAUUACAAAUCGAUUCUUCCAAAACCAUUGUCACGUCCAAUAUAUUUGAAGGCCAAUAUAGUUUUUGAGCAACUAUAUUUAUAUUCAUAUUUACACUUCUAUGUGUUAGCUACAUUUACAACUAAACGGAACUUGAUGGAACUUAAAUAUUGUGAUAGCUACUCUAUAAAAACACACGCACGGUUCAGGUCGGCUGAGCUCUCACUAUUUAUGUUGACAUAUGCAACUCUUUCCCCAGUCUCUUGAUGCAAAUGCAAUGGAGACGUUAGCAAAGCAAGGCAAGCGUGGCCCCAUAAAGGCUGCGAGCGGCAAACACUCCGCACAGACAACUAUCACUAAUCACUCCCAGAGCAGUGCGGCGUGUAAUUACUCCGCCAAACGUUUUUGCCUUUUCACAGCUUAGCACCGGGAGCCCUGACCCCUGCGCUUCCUCGUCUUUCCUCGCCACGCUACAUGUGGAAGGGGAGGACGUCUCCCCAAGAUACCCAACCCCCUUUUCCACUCUUUUUUUUUAACUCAUCGCCACGGGAGCAAGAAAGAUGAGCGUCUUCUCAGUAUUUAAGGGCUGUUGACAUAAGGCCAUUUUUAUCUGCAAGUGUGUUUUCCUCUUUGAGGUACAUUCGAGGAGGGUAGCAGUAUGCCAAAACCCAAGGCUUGGUGCGUCUUUGGUUGAGAAUUCAUGGGUCGGUUUACAGCUGGCGCAGCAACUAAACAGGUAACUGUUUUUCUUGUGUGUAAACAGGGCCAGAUUUCAAACAAACAGUAAAGCCACUCUAGAAAUAAGUCUGUUUUGAGGGGGCCGUCCUGUGUCACCCUGACCAACACUUCUGCGGUGCCAUUGGUGAGCAUGGUUUCUGUUACUAUGUCAGCGAUGGACAAAGAUCCUUGUGAACCCCAAGUCUAAAAAGAAAUUAACUAAAUAAUACUAAUUUCCUUUUCAGAUUGUCGGUGCCACCUACAGGCCUGGCAUGUAAAUUACAGCAUUUCUGCUUUUACUCACAUUGUCUGUGCAUGUAACCUUUAGAAAGGAAAGACUAAAAAGGGAGAAAAUAUCACAAGGUGAAGAGUAAAAGUGAGAUCGGUACUUUGUGGAAGCCCAUUUUUGAAGGCACUUUGAAACCUUAGCCAUUCGGAGAUCAGAAAUAGACUUAUUGACUGCGUGAGUUCUUAGAGCUCACAUGCAACAGGGGGGCGGGGGGGCAUCUACAAGCUGUGUGCUCAUUAAUUUUACAUCAGGAGAAACAUCACAUUCUCAAGGCUGUUUUUAGUGUCACUGGGUUGUGCUGUUGUUGUAUAAUUCCUUUCAUAUGUCGCCAAGUGCAGGACACGCAAUUCCCCGUCUUCCUUCCCUCCUAUUUACUCGUAUUAGCCAUGCGGCUGAUCCCGUCGUCUGUCUGCUCAUAAGAUGACACCAUGCAAAUAUGUUGCGGCGUCAAGCGACUCCGCCUUGGCAAGCAGGUAGGCUGCGGGGAGAGCCGGCAUCCCAUAAUGACUAUUAGUUGGAUUUCACAGCCUGCUUGUGAUCUGCUGAAAUGACAGGAGGGAAGGAAACCCCAAGAAGGGUGGGUGUGCCAGCACCCUUUCUAUAAUAAGUCACAC